UCUCGGGGUUACAGCCUUGCUGAAUUAUUCACCCUUGUCUUUUGCGUACUUCUUGUUUCCUUGGUGGGUUCGCCCACCACUAGGACAAACAUAAACCUUUUGUAAUUGCAAUCAGCGUCAGUAACAAAUUAAUAAUUACAACUUUCAACAACGGAUCUCUUGGUUCUGGCAUCGAUGAAGAACGCAGCGAAAUGCGAUAAGUAGUGUGAAUUGCAGAAUUCAGUGAAUCAUCGAAUCUUUGAACGCACAUUGCGCCCUUUGGUAUUCCAAAGGGCAUGCCUGUUCGAGCGUCAUUUGUACCCUCAAGCUUUGCUUGGUGUUGGGCGUCUUGUCUCUAGCUUUGCUGGAGACUCGCCUUAAAGUAAUUGGCAGCCGGCCUACUGGUUUCGGAGCGCAGCACAAGUCGCACUCUCUAUCAGCAAAGGUCUAGCAUCCAUUAAGCCUUUUUUUCAACUUUUGACCUCGGAUCAGGUAGGGAUACCCGCUGA
rnacentral:rRNA from 1 species